GAUGAACGCUGGCGGCGUGCCUAAUACAUGCAAGUCGAGCGAACGGACGAGAAGCUUGCUUCUCUGAUGUUAGCGGCGGACGGGUGAGUAACACGUGGAUAACCUACCUAUAAGACUGGGAUAACUUCGGGAAACCGGAGCUAAUACCGGAUAAUAUUUUGAACCGCAUGGUUCAAAAGUGAAAGACGGUCUUGCUGUCACUUAUAGAUGGAUCCGCGCUGCAUUAGCUAGUUGGUAAGGUAACGGCUUACCAAGGCAACGAUGCAUAGCCGACCUGAGAGGGUGAUCGGCCACACUGGAACUGAGACACGGUCCAGACUCCUACGGGAGGCAGCAGUAGGGAAUCUUCCGCAAUGGGCGAAAGCCUGACGGAGCAACGCCGCGUGAGUGAUGAAGGUCUUCGGAUCGUAAAACUCUGUUAUUAGGGAAGAACAUAUGUGUAAGUAACUGUGCACAUCUUGACGGUACCUAAUCAGAAAGCCACGGCUAACUACGUGCCAGCAGCCGCGGUAAUACGUAGGUGGCAAGCGUUAUCCGGAAUUAUUGGGCGUAAAGCGCGCGUAGGCGGUUUUUUAAGUCUGAUGUGAAAGCCCACGGCUCAACCGUGGAGGGUCAUUGGAAACUGGAAAACUUGAGUGCAGAAGAGGAAAGUGGAAUUCCAUGUGUAGCGGUGAAAUGCGCAGAGAUAUGGAGGAACACCAGUGGCGAAGGCGACUUUCUGGUCUGUAACUGACGCUGAUGUGCGAAAGCGUGGGGAUCAAACAGGAUUAGAUACCCUGGUAGUCCACGCCGUAAACGAUGAGUGCUAAGUGUUAGGGGGUUUCCGCCCCUUAGUGCUGCAGCUAACGCAUUAAGCACUCCGCCUGGGGAGUACGACCGCAAGGUUGAAACUCAAAGGAAUUGACGGGGACCCGCACAAGCGGUGGAGCAUGUGGUUUAAUUCGAAGCAACGCGAAGAACCUUACCAAAUCUUGACAUCCUUUGACAACUCUAGAGAUAGAGCCUUCCCCUUCGGGGGACAAAGUGACAGGUGGUGCAUGGUUGUCGUCAGCUCGUGUCGUGAGAUGUUGGGUUAAGUCCCGCAACGAGCGCAACCCUUAAGCUUAGUUGCCAUCAUUAAGUUGGGCACUCUAAGUUGACUGCCGGUGACAAACCGGAGGAAGGUGGGGAUGACGUCAAAUCAUCAUGCCCCUUAUGAUUUGGGCUACACACGUGCUACAAUGGACAAUACAAAGGGCAGCGAAACCGCGAGGUCAGGCAAAUCCCAUAAAGUUGUUCUCAGUUCGGAUUGCAGUCUGCAACUCGACUACACGAAGCUGGAAUCGCUAGUAAUCGUAGAUCAGCAUGCUACGGUGAAUACGUUCCCGGGUCU
rnacentral:rRNA from 1 species